rnacentral:rRNA from 1 species
UACGUAGGGGGCGAGCGUUGUCCGGAAUUACUGGGCGUAAAGGGCGUGUAGGCGGUUGGAAAAGUCUGGUGUGAAAUGUCUCGGCUUAACCGGGACGCUGCGCUGGAAACUUUCUGACUGGAGUAUGGGAGGGGUAACUGGAAUCCCCGGUGUAACGGUGAAAUGUGUAGAUAUCGGGGGGAACACCUGUGGCGAAGGCGGGUUACUGGACCAUUACUGACGCUGAUACGCGAAAGCGUGGGGAGCAAACAGG